GCUUGGGUCCACUUCCACACUGCCGAGUGUACUUUCAUUUUCAAUAAAUUCCUGCUUUUGUUCUUUUGUUGCUUCAUGCUUUCUUUGCUUUGCUGGGCAUUUUGUCCAAUUCUUUGUUCAAAACACCAAGAACCUGGACAACUUGCAGUCAACACCCUCUACCAGUGACACUGGGAGCAGAGUGGGGGGUGGGGAUUGACCUAUGUAACAAAACCUUCAUAAAGUUCCUAAAUGACAAGGGUAGGAGCACUUCUGGGUUGGUGAACACAACUAUGUCAGAAAUAAUAAGUUUCUCUUCAAAGCUCCCUUGGUCUUUCUUGCUCUGUACACAGGCCCCACCCCUUGCUUAAUUUGUAAUUAGCAAACCUCUAUAUGCCCAGACAUGCCCAGACUUGUUCUGUAAACUACCUUUCCCACCUUAGCAACAGUCUCUUCCUCCCCUCCUCUUGCAAACGGCAUAUUUACCAUAUGUAGAAAAGUUUAAGUCUUAGCCAAUAAUUGGGUUAGAUUGUUCAGUCCAACUCAAGCCAAUGGGGAGAGGACACAGUAACAGGAGCUGCGUUAGGGAUAAAAACUUUUCUCUCCUUUGUUUGGUAUGCUCUUGCAAUCAGACGGAUGCAGGCAGCACCCUUCUGCAGAAGUAAAUGUGCCUUGCUGAGAAAUGUUCUGUCUAAGUGCUGGCUUUUCUUUGAGGCACUGAGCACUUGUUUCUAACAAAAUGGGGGCACAUCUGGGAUCCCAUUCUCCUCCGGAGAAGGGUCUCCAAUCAUCUCUUGUGAGGAGACGUGUCUCACUGCAGCAGCCUCAAGAAUGAGGGAUUGAGACCCACCAGCAUGAUGAAUAUACCGAGACUCUCAGCAACAUGGAAGGAAAAGGCCUACAGAUGCCAUGGUGACCAAGUAAUUCUGUGCACAGACCAAGAAUCUUGCUACUCUCCAUCACAAGGCAAAGUCUAUCUUCCUUUCUUUUGAAUCUGGGAAGACACUUGUGACUGCCUCAAUGAAUAGGAAGAAUACAGUGGAAGUGAUGCUGCGUGGCUGCUAAGAACAGGCUGGAAAAGGCCAUGCAGCCUCUGUUCGUCUCCCUCUUGGAACACUUGUCUUUGGAACCCUGAGUUGCCAAGUAGGACAUCCAGGGCUGCCGUGCUGUGGGGAAGCCCAAAACUAGCCCACACAGAGAGACCACAUGAAAAAACACUGACAUUGCAUGAAGAGAGGGUGAUGUGCUCCAGCUGCCUAAGGCUUCAUCUCCUGCCUGUUCCAGCUCCAGAAAACCUGAAGGCAACAGCAUGAGACACCCUGAGCUAAAACCAUCUAGCUGAGCUGUUUCUGAACUUCUGACCAAUUUCUUAUUUCUGACCAAUAAAAAAUAAUUUUAUUAUCUGUGAUUGAUAAUAAAUUUAUUAUUGUUUCAAGCCAUUAAGUGUUGAGAUUAUUUGUUAUACAGCCACAGAUAGCUAGAACAUACAUAUAAGAGACCAUGG
rnacentral:lncRNA from 10 species